rnacentral:sRNA from 1 species
CCUUUUGUGGGAGUCCGGUCUGUCCACUUGCCGGUCCCUCAGACCGUCGGCGGUCUCUGUCCGCUUCGGGACCUGUCCGCUGGUCGCUCCGCGUCCGAUGGCUCCGGGCCGCGGAACCUUAGGCCUGGCCCUGGUCUCCGAGCGCGGGUUCGCCGGGAGGAGCGUGUGGCGGGGUGUGCCGGGGCGUGAGUGCGCCGGGCAUGGGGCUGAGCCUGGUGUGGGGAGUGGGUAUCUGCGGAGCCGGCCUGAACCCCACCUCAGCCGGGCGCGGGGAGGGGGCUCCGUGCGUGUGAUCGUGCAGCUGUGAGCGCGUGGCCGCCCCGCGGGGCUCCGCUGCAGGCCCCUCAGCCCCAGGAGCAGGACUCGCUCUUCAGGGCCUGCCCUGGAUCCUGGAGGCUACACAGCUGCCCACUCCUCCCGGGGAGGCUGCCGUGGAGGCCAUGGAGAUCCCUGUCCCGGAGCCCGAGAAGACAGGUACAGCUUCACUCUUGUAGUCAGUAUGUCUGUGGAUUUGCACUUGAGGAUAUUGACACUCAGAGAGAUCAGGCCAGUUUCCCAGAAGCAUCCAGCAUCUUUUUUUUUUUUUUUUUUUAAUGGACUCUCACUCUGUCAGCCAGGCGGGAGUGCAAUGGCUUGAUCUCCGCUCACUGCAACCUCUGCUUCCCGGGUUCAAACUAUUCUCCCGCCUCAACCUCCCAAGUAGUUGGGAUUGCAGGCGCGCGCCACCACGCCCGGCUAAUGUUUGUAUUUUUAGUAGAGACGGGGUUUUGCCAUGUUUCCCAGGCUGGUCUUAAGCUCAAGCGAUCCGCCCGCCUCGGCCUCCCAAAGUGCUGGGAUUACAGGCGUGAGCCAUCGCUCCUGGCCUCCUGCUUCUUUCUUCCCCGUGCCCAAUCAUUUGUUCCCACUCAGACGUGCUUGAUUGGGGGUAGCAGCUCUUUUCGUCAUGAAUUGGAGUGUCUGAGACACAGGCAGAUUAUUCCUCGAUGCUGUUUCUGUUGGGGCUAGCUACUGGGGCUCGUUCCCCACCUGGCCUUGCUGGCAGGUUCUGCCUCCUCUCUGAUUCUCACUUGUGCCACGACAGGUGGGCUUUAAGCUCAGCCGUGAGCCUGGUAGCCGUGACCUUGACUCAUUUCUCCUUCCCCAGCUCUUUCCUCUCAGGAUCCUGCUCUUUCCCUGAAAGAGAAUCUCGAGGAUAUAUCGGGUUGGGGUCUUCCCGAAGCCAGGUCCAAGGAAUCGGUGAGUUUCAAGGAUGUGGCUGUGGACUUCACCCAGGAGGAGUGGGGUCAACUAGACUCCCCUCAGAGGGCCUUGUACCGGGAUGUGAUGUUGGAGAACUACCAGAACCUUCUUGCCCUAGGACCUCCACUGCACAAGCCAGAUGUGAUCUCUCAUCUGGAACGAGGCGAGGAGCCAUGGAGCAUGCAGAGGGAAGUCCCCAGAGGGCCCUGUCCAGAAUGGGAGCUGAAGGCGGUGCCCUCUCAACAGCAGGGCAUUUGCAAAGAAGAACCGGCCCAGGAGCCCAUCAUGGAGCGGCCCCUCGGCGGGGCGCAGGCGUGGGGGCGCCAGGCAGGUGCUCUGCAGAGGAGUCAGGCUGCGCCCUGGGCGCCCGCACCUGCCAUGGUCUGGGACGUCCCUGUAGAGGAAUUCCCCCUCAUGUGUCCCCUCUUCGCCCAGCAACGCGUUCCCGAGGGGGGACCCCUUGCUGGACACACGCAAGAACGUCCAGGCCACUGAGGGCAGAACCAAGGCCCCCGCGAGGACUGUGUGCAGGGGAAAACGCCUCCACGCCAAGUGAGCCAGAAAAGUUCCCCCAGGUGCGCCGGCAGCGCGGGGCGGGCGCCGGGAGGGCGAGUUCGUGUGCGGCGAGUGCGGGAAGGCGUUCCGCCAGAGCUCCUCCCUCAGCUGCACCGGCGCUGGCACAGCCGGGAGAAGGCUUACAAGUGCGAUGAAUGCGGCAAGGCCUUCACCCUGGAGCACCAACCUUCUGGAGCACCGGCGCAUCCACACCGGCGAGAAGCCCCUUCUUCUGCGGGCGAGUGCGGGAAGGCCUUCAGCUGCCACUCGUCCCUCAACGUGCACCAGCGCAUCCACACGGGCGAGCGGCCCUACAAGUGCAGCGCCUGCGAGAAGGCCUUCAGCUGCAGGCUCGCUGCUCAGCAUGCACCUGCGGUGCACACGCGCGAGAAGCCCUACCCGCGUGCGGCGAGUGCGGCAAGCCUUCAACCAGCGUACAACACUCACACGCCACCAUCCGCAUCCACACGGCGAGAAGCCCUACCAGUGCGGCUCCUGCUGCAAGGCCUUCACCUGCCACUCAUCCCUCACCCGUGCAUGAGAAGAUCCACAGCGGGGACAAAGCCGUUCAAGUGCAGCGACUGCGAGAAGGCCUUCAACAGCCGCUCGCGCCCUCACCCUCCCACCAGAGGACGCAACACGGGCGAGAAGCCCUUCAAGUGCGCCGACUGCGGAAGGGCUCAGCUGCCACGCGUACCUGCUCGUGCACCGGCGCAUCCACAGCGGCGAGAAGCCCUUCAAGUGCAACGAGUGCGGCAAAGGCCUUCACUCCCACGCCUACCUCAUCGUGGCACCGGCGCAUCCACCAAAGCGAGAAGCCCUUCGACUGCAGCCAGUGUUGGAAGGCCUUCAGCUGCCACUCGUCCCUCAUCGUGCACCAGCGCAUCCACACCGGUGAGAAGCCCUACAAGUGCAAGUGAGUGCGGCAGAGCCUUCAGCCAGAACCACUGUCUCAUUAAACAUCAGAAAAAUCCACCCGGGGAGAAGUCGUUUAAGUGUGGAGAAAUGUGGGGAGAUGUUCAACUGGAGCUCGCACCUCACUGAGCACCAGAGGCUGCACAGCCGAGGGGACGCCCUGCCAUCCAGUUCAACAAACACCUGCUUCAGACACAUACUACGUGCCUGGCAGCCUGCUGGGUGCAGGGGAUCUACUGGACUGAGGACGUGGGAUCCCAUCGACGCGUGGAUAGUGGGGCAAAGCUCUUGUGCGUUGGUUCCCCCCCGAGCUGGCAGGAUUUCUCCCUGGGGAAGCAAACCUCGAAAUAAUUAACAUUGAUGUGCUCUUGGUGUCAGUAGCACACUUCUCUGAGCUACUCAACCAAGAAGGCACCCUGAUCCUCCCUGGCUCCUAGAUCCAGACCCACCUUCCUUCCAGGUUGAGCCUUGCCCUUAUCACCCCAAUCAGGUCUGCAUGCCGGGUGCCUCCUCUAGUUAAAGUCGGUCACCUCCCCAGAAGGGCCACACUCCAGGAGGAGUGUUGAGAGUCAUGUGAGAUAGUCUUGCCACCUGUUUUCCUUGAUGGGCCUGGAAGUUGUUGACAAGGGGAAAGAUCUUUCUUGCCAAUAGAAAGAAGGGAUAGCGUUGGGUGCCAUGGCUCACACCUGUAAUCUUAACACUGUGGGAGGCCAAGGCAAGGGGAUCACUUGAGCCCAGGAGUCUAGGACCAGCCUGGACAACAUGGUGAGACCUCGUCUCUACAAAAAAUGCAAAAAUUAGCCAGAUGUGGGCAUGUCCCUGUGGUCCCAGCUACUCAGGAGGCUGAGGUGGGAGGAUCAUUUGAGCCUAGGAGGUCAAGGCUGCAGUGAGCCAUGAUUCACAGCACUGCACUGCAGCCUGGGUGACAAAGCAAGACCCUGUGUGAAAUUAAAAGGAGGUAUAUCAACUGUUGUAUCCUCAGACGGGCUCCUGACAUGGCUUUAAUCGGGAGUUUCCUCCAUAAACUAUUAUUUUCAGAAUAAUAAUAAAAUAAGAAUUAUGACUAGC